ACCACUUCUUAUUUACCGAGAAAACUCGCAAGGACUGCUAACCCAUGCCCCCAUACUUAACACUAUGGUUUUCUCAACUUUUAAAGGAUAACAGCUAUCCAUUGGUUUUAGGAACCAAAAAUAUUGGUGCAACUCCAAAUAAAAGUAAUAACCAUGCACACCUCCAUUAUAAUAGCAACCCUCGCCUCCCUAACCCCCCCAAUCAUUGCCACCUUUAUCAAUCCCAACAAAAAACAAUCAUACCCAAACCAUGUAAAAACAACUAUAAUAUAUGCUUUCAUUACCAGCCUUAUUCCAACAACCCUAUACAUCUCCCUAAACCAAGAAACAACCAUUUGAAGCUGACACUGAAUAAUAACUCAAACACUAGAUCUAACACUAAGCUUUAAACUAGACUACUUCUCCGUAAUAUUCACCCCAAUCGCACUAUUCAUCACCUGGUCUAUUAUAGAAUUCUCACUAUGAUACAUAAGCUCAGACCCAAACAUCAACCAAUUCUUCAAAUAUCUCCUUAUUUUCCUCAUCACAAUACUAAUCUUGACCACCGCUAACAACCUUUUUCAACUCUUCAUCGGCUGGGAGGGCGUAGGAAUCAUAUCUUUCUUAUUAAUCGGCUGAUGAUAUUCUCGAACGGACGCCAACACAGCAGCAAUCCAAGCAAUCCUGUACAAUCGCAUUGGCGAUAUUGGCCUCAUCCUAGCUAUAGCAUAUUUCCUCCUACACUACAACUCAUGAGACAUACAACAAAUACUAACUCUAAACCCCAACCCAAACUCCCUCCCACUAAUAGGCCUUCUCCUAGCAGCAAUAGGAAAAUCAGCUCAACUUGGCCUUCAUCCUUGACUACCCUCCGCCAUAGAAGGCCCAACCCCAGUCUCAGCCCUACUACACUCUAGUACCAUGGUUGUUGCCGGGGUGUACUUACUCAUUCGCUUCCACCCUCUAAUAGAAAGCAACACACUACUUCAAAGCCUCACACUAUGUCUGGGAGCCAUCACCACCAUAUUUAUAGCCAUCUGCGCCCUCACACAAAACGACAUCAAAAAAAUCGUAGCCUUCUCCACCUCAAGCCAACUAGGCCUAAUAAUAGUUACCAUCGGCAUCAAUCAACCAUAUUUAGCAUUCCUGCAUAUCUGUACUCACGCCUUCUUCAAGGCCCUACUUUUCAUAUGCUCCGGAUCCAUCAUUCAUAACCUAAAUAACGAACAAGACAUCCGAAAAAUAGGAGGCCUAUUCAAAACAAUACCCCUCACCUCAACUUCCCUACUCAUCGGCAACCUAGCACUCACAGGAAUACCAUUCCUCACAGGCUUCUACUCCAAAGAUCUCAUUAUCGAAGCCACAAACACGUCAUAUACCAACGCCUGAGCCCUAUCUAUCACCUUCAUCGCCACCUCUCUAACAAGCGCCUAUAGUACUCGAAUCAUUCUCCUCACCAUAACAGGGCCACCUCGCUUUUCAACCCUAAUAAACAUUAACGAAAAUAACCCCACCCUACUUAACCCAAUUAAACGCCUCACAAUGGGCAGCAUUAUUACUGGAUUCCUUAUCACCAACAACAUCCCCCCCACUUCGCUUCCCCAACCAACAAUACCCCACUACUUAAAACUCUCAGCCCUGUAUGCAACUAUCCUUGGUUUCCUAAUAACCCUAGACCUGACCUCUAUAACCAACAAACUAAAAAUAAACAACCCAUCACAAAUAUUUAAAUUCUCCAACAUACUAGGGUAUUUUCCCACUACAAUUCACCGCAUAGUCCCAUAUCAAAACCUACUCAUAAGCCAAAACCUAGCCCUUCUUCUACUAGAUUCAAUAUGACUAGAAAAAUCUAUACCCAAGAUGAUCGCACAUGUACACACCACCGCUUCCAAAACUGUCACUACCCAAAAAGGCAUAAUUAAGCUAUACUCCCUCUCCUUUCUCAUCCCCCUCACCCUAACCCUACUUCUAAUAAUAUAACCUAUUACCCCGAGUGAUCUCAAUUACAAUAUAUACACCCACAAACAAUGUCCAACCAGCAACCACUACUAACCAACGCCCAUAAUCGUACAAAGCACCAGCACCAAUAGAAUCUCCCCGAACUAACCCUGACCCCUCUCCCUCAAAAAUCACCCAACUCCCCAUACUAUUAAAACUAACUACCACUACCCCAUCAGAACUUGAAACCCAUAGAACUAACCCUACUUCUAUUAUUAAACCCACCAAAAGACCCCCUAAAACCCCAAACCCUGAACCCCAUGUCUCAGGGUACUCCUCAAUAGCUAUCGCUGUAGUAUAACCAAAAACAAUUAUUAUACCCCCCAAAUAAAUUAAAAACAACAUCAAACCUAUAUAAGUCCCCCCAAAACCUAAAACUACCAUACAACCAACCACACCACUAACAAUCAAUGCUAGCCCCCCAUAAAUAGGAGAGGGCUUAGAAGAAAAUCCAACAAAUCCCAUAACCAACAAUACACUCAACGCAAAUAAAAUAUAUGUCAUUGCUCUUGCAUGGACUACAGCCAUAACCAAUGAUAUGAAAAACCACCGUUGUACUUCAACUACAAAAGCACUAAUGACCCCAAUGCGUAAAUCCAACCCAAUUAUAAAAAUAAUUAACCACUCCCUCAUUGACCUGCCAACCCCAUCCAACAUUUCCAUAUGAUGAAACUUCGGCUCACUCCUCGCAUUCUGCCUAAUUCUACAGAUCAUCACAGGCCUAUUCUUAGCAAUACAUUACUCACCAGACACCUCUUCUGCCUUCUCUUCAAUCGCACACAUCACCCGAGACGUAAACCACGGCUGAAUCAUUCGCUACCUCCACGCCAACGGCGCCUCCAUAUUUUUCAUCUGCCUCUUUCUACACGUAGGCCGAGGUCUUUACUAUGGCUCAUUCCUUCUCCUAAAAACCUGGAACACUGGCAUUAUACUUCUAUUCUUGACUAUAGCAACAGCCUUUAUAGGCUACGUACUUCCAUGAGGCCAAAUAUCAUUCUGAGGAGCAACAGUGAUCACAAACCUAUUAUCAGCAAUCCCAUACAUCGGGACCGACCUCGUCCAAUGAAUCUGAGGUGGGUACUCCAUUGGCAACCCCACCCUUUCACGAUUCUUCACCCUACACUUUAUUCUACCUUUCAUUAUCACCGCUCUUACAAUAGUCCAUCUGCUAUUCCUACACGAAACAGGAUCAAACAACCCCUGCGGAAUCUCAUCAGACUCAGACAAAAUCCCCUUCCACCCCUACUACACAAUUAAGGAUAUCCUAGGCCUAGUCCUCCUCCUCUUCAUCCUAACAACACUAACACUACUCUCACCCAACCUCCUAAACGACCCAGACAACUACAUCCCAGCCGACCCACUAAAUACCCCUCCACACAUCAAACCAGAGUGAUACUUCCUAUUUGCAUACGCAAUUCUACGAUCUGUUCCUAAUAAACUAGGGGGCGUACUAGCACUCUUCCUUUCAAUCCUCAUCCUAUCUAUUAUCCCCACACUUCAUAAUUCCAAACAACAAAGCAUAAUAUUCCGCCCACUUAGCCAAUUCCUAUUCUGAUUCCUAAUUACAACCCUAUUAACCCUCACCUGGAUCGGAAGUCAGCCAGUAAGCCAACCCUUCAUUUUUAUUGGUCAACUAGCAUCCACAAUAUACUUCACCACAGUUCUAAUCCUGAUACCACUAACCUCCCUGAUCGAAAAUAACCUACUCAAAUGAACUUGCCCUUGUAGUAUAAACUAAUACACUAGUCUUGUAAACUAGAGAUGAGACUCAUAACCCCUAGGACAGCUCAGAAAGAAAGCACUUGACUUCACCACCAACACCCAAAACUGGCAUUCUAGCUUAAACUACUUUCUGUCUUUUAUAUUGUACAAACCCUACAGUACAACUCAAGCACCUUUACAUAAAUAUGCUAUGUAAU